rnacentral:rRNA from 1 species
GACGAACGCUGGCGGCGUGCUUAACACAUGCAAGUCGAACGGAGUGGCUAACGGGUGAGUAACACGUGGGUGACCUGCCCCGCACUUCGGGAUACGCCUUGGUAACUGGGUCUAAUACCGGCUAGUUUGGGAUGGGCCCGCGGCCUAUCGGCUUGUUGGUGGGGUAAUGGCCUACCAAGGCGGCGCCGGGUAGCCGGCCUGGGAGGGUGGACGGCCACAUGGGGACUGAGACACGGCCCAGACUUCUAUGGGGGGCAGCAGUGGCGAAUAUUGUACAACGGGGGGAAGGUUGGUGCAGUGACGUGGGGGGGGGGAAGACGGCCUUCGGGUUGGGAACUCCGUACACUAGCGACGCGGUAGAUGGAGAAGAAGCACCGGCUAACUACGUGCCAGCAGCCGCGGUAAUAC